UAAAAGUAGAAAAUAAAAGAUUCAAUUAAUUUUAUUAUGUGAUAAAGUUUUUAC
rnacentral:tRNA from 1 species